rnacentral:rRNA from 1 species
UACAGAGGGGGCGAGCGUUGUUCGGAAUUACUGGGCGUAAAGGGCGCGUAGGCGGCCCGCUAAGUCGAACGUGAAAUCCCCAGGCUCAACCUGGGAACUGCGUCCGAUACUGGCAGGCUUGAAUCCGGGAGAGGGAUGUGGAAUUCCAGGUGUAGCGGUGAAAUGCGUAGAUAUCUGGAGGAACACCGGUGGCGAAGGCGGCAUCCUGGACCAACACUGACGCUGAGUGAGCGAAAGCCAGGGGAGCAAACGGG